rnacentral:rRNA from 1 species
GACGAACGCUGGCGGCGUGCUUAACACAUGCAAGUCGAACGGAAAGGCCCUGCUUUUGUGGGGUGCUCGAGUGGCGAACGGGGGAGUAACACGUGAGUAACCUGCCCUUGUCUUUGGGAUAACUCUAGGAAACUGGGGCUCAUACCGGAUAGGAUCUCCUGCUGCAUGGUGGGGGUUGGAAAGUUUCGGCGGUUGGGGCUGGUCUCGCUGCUUAUCAGCUUGAUGGUGGGGUAGUGGCUUACCAAGGCUUUGAGGGGUAGCCGGCCUGAGAGGGUGACCGGCCACAUUGGGACUGAGAUACGGCCCAGACUCCUACGGGAGGCAGCAGUGGGGAAUAUUGCACAAUGGGCGGAAGCCUGAUGCAGCAACGCCGCGUGCGGGAUGACGGCCUUCGGGUUGUAAACCGCUUUCGCCGGUGACGAAGCGUGAGUGACGGUAAUGGGUAAAGAAGCACCGGCUAACUACGUG